rnacentral:rRNA from 1 species
AUUGAACGCUGGCGGCAGGCCUAACACAUGCAAGUCGAGCGGAUGAAGGGAGCUUGCUCCUGGAUUCAGCGGCGGACGGGUGAGUAAUGCCUAGGAAUCUGCCUGGUAGUGGGGGAUAACGUCCGGAAACGGGCGCUAAUACCGCAUACGUCCUGAGGGAGAAAGUGGGGGAUCUUCGGACCUCACGCUAUCAGAUGAGCCUAGGUCGGAUUAGCUAGUUGGUGGGGUAAAGGCCUACCAAGGCGACGAUCCGUAACUGGUCUGAGAGGAUGAUCAGUCACACUGGAACUGAGACACGGUCCAGACUCCUACGGGAGGCAGCAGUGGGGAAUAUUGGACAGAGGGCGAAAGCCUGAUCCAGCCAUGCCGCGUGUGUGAAGAAGGUCUUCGGAUUGUAAAGCACUUUAAGUUGGGAGGAAGGGCAGUAAGUUAAUACCUUGCUGUUUUGACGUUACCAAUAGAAUAAGCACCGUCUAACUUCGUG